AGCAGCCGCGGUAAUUCCAGCUCCAAUAGCGUAUAUUAAAGUUGUUGCAGUUAAAAAGCUCGUAGUUGAAUUUCGGGAUCAAUAUAUCGGUCGUGCCAUUGGUACGUACUGGUAUCAUUGGUUUCUCCUUUCUGACGAACCAUGAUGUCAUUAAUUUGGUGUUAUGGGAAGUUAGGACUGUUACUUUGAAAAAUUAGAGUGUUUAAAGCAGGCUUUAGCUUGAAUACAUUAGCAUGGAAUAAUGAAAUAGGACGUUCGAACCUAUUUUGUUGGUUUCUAGGAUCAACGUAAUGAUUAAUAGGGAUAGUUGGGGGCAUUAGUAUUCAAUUGUCAGAGGUGAAAUUCUUGGAUUUAUUGAAGACUAACUACUGCGAAAGCAUUUGCCAAGGAUGUUUUCAUUAAUCAAGAACGAAAGUUAGGGGAUCGAAGACGAUCAGAUACCGUCGUAGUCUUAACCAUAAACUAUAGCCGACUAGGGAUCGGAUGAUGUUAAUUUUUAAUGUACUCAUUCGCGCCUUAA
rnacentral:rRNA from 1 species